GUGACCCUGACCAAAAUAGACCGUGCACGCGUCAUCCAGCCUGCCGGCGGCGGCACCGUCCGUCGCUCGGCCAAGUCCUCGACAACCUCCUCUCCUCGGAGUGGGGGCUCGGGGUAAAAGAACCCACGACGCCUAAGGCGUCAAGGAACACUGUGCCUAGCCCGGGGACGCGGACGGCUUGCUGGCCGCCCCCUGUGCUGCAAUGCUAUUUAAUCCACACGACUCUCGGCAACGGAUAUCUCGGCUCU
rnacentral:misc_RNA from 1 species